ACGGGAAUUGCUUAUUUUUACAAAAUUGAACCAAAUUGGCUUCUGAAAACGAAUUUUUAUUUAAUUAUUUAUUUUUAUUAAUGAUUGAACCAAACCAAAACAUAUUCUACUUUUUUUUCAUUUCUCUUAGCUAGUGCUCCUUUAACAUUUUGAUACGCAUUUGAUUUCGAAUUAUUGUAUUCUGUUCUAUUAUCAUCGUAUGGUUUUUAGAAAAAAGAAAAAAUCGUACAAGGACUGGCAGAGGUUAUUUUAUCUAAUUAACAAACAAUGCACCGUUCAAAUUAUUAACUACCAGGCAAAAUAUAAAAUACAGACAGUUAUAUAUA
rnacentral:lncRNA from 1 species